rnacentral:rRNA from 1 species
AUGAGUAGCGAAAAGAAAGGUGAGAAUCCUUUCCACCGAAAGCAUAAGGAUUCCUGAGCAACGAUCGUCGUCUCAGGGUAAGUCGGGACCUAAUCCGAGGCAGAGAGCGUAGGAGAUGGACAACUGGUUGAUAUUCCAGUACCGGUAGUAAUUGUUUGAGCAAUGGAGUGACACAGAAGGGCAGGCAAGCAUGCGAAUGGAAGAGCAUGUGUAAGCGUGUAGGGUGGUGCAUAGGCAAAUCCGUGCACUGAAAGCCUGAGGCGUGAUGCGGAGUGAGCAGAGAUGCGAGCGAAGUUGUUGACCCCACACUGUCGAGAAAAGCUUCUAGUGAGAGAGCUACCGCCCGUACCGUAAACCGACACAGGUAUGCGGGGAGAGAAUCCUAAGGUGCGCGGGAGAACCCUCGUUAAGGAACUCGGCAAAAUGUACCCGUAACUUCGGGAUAAGGGUAGCCACUGUUGUGAAGUCCCAUGCGGAUGGAGCAUAGAGUGGUCGCAGAGAAGAGGCCCAAGCGACUGUUUACCAUAAACACAGGUGCCUGCUAAAGCGAAAGCUGACGUAUAGGUGCUGACACCUGCCCAGUGCCGGAAGGUUAAGGAAGGAUGUUCGGAUUAGUCCAAAGCAUUCGACUGAAGCCCCGGUGAACGGCGGCCGUAACUAUAACGGUCCUAAGGUAGCGAAAUUCCUUGUCGGGUAAGUUCCGACCCGCACGAAAGGUGUAACGAUUUGGGCACUGUCUCAACGAGGGACCCGGUGAAAUUGAAAUACCUGUGAAGAUGCAGGUUACCCGCGACUGGACAGAAAGACCCCAUGGAGCUUUACUGUAACCUGACAUUGGGUUUUGAUACAUUACGUACAGGAUAGGUGGGAGGCAUGGAAAGCUGGACGCUAGUCUGGCUGGAGCCGACGUUGGGAUACCACCCUUGAUGUAUUGAAAUUCUAACCGCGAGAGUAACGAAAUCCGGGACAGUGUCAGGCGGGCAGUUUGACUGGGGCGGUCGCCUCCGAAAGAGUAACGGAGGCGCCCAAAGGUUCCCUCAGCGCGGCCGGAAAUCGCGCGAAGAGUGUAAAGGCAGAAGGGAGCUUGACUGCGAGUCAAACACGACGAGCAGGUACGAAAGUAGGGCUUAGUGAUCCGGUGGUACCGAGUGGAAGGGCCAUCGCUCAACGGAUAAAAGCUACCCUGGGGAUAACAGGCUAAUCUCUCCCAAGAGUCCAUAUCGACGGGGAGGUUUGGCACCUCGAUGUCGGCUCAUCACAUCCUGGGGCUGAAGUCGGUCCCAAGGGUUGGGCUGUUCGCCCAUUAAAGUGGUACGUGAGCUGGGUUCAGAACGUCGUGAGACAGUUCGGUCCCUAUCCAUCGCGGGCGCAAGAGAUUUGAAGGGGGCUGCUCCUAGUACGAGAGGACCGGAGUGGACGAACCGCUGGUGUACCAAUUAUCCCGCCAGGGGUACAGUUGGGUAGCUACGUUCGGAAAGGAUAAACGCUGAAAGCAUCUAAGCGUGAAACCAGCCUUAAGAUGAGAUCUCUCAUAGAGCAAUCUAGUAAGACACCUUAAAGAAGAUGAGGUUGAUAGGUCGGGAGUGUAAGUACAGCAAUGUAUUGAGCGGACCGAUACUAAUAUGUCGAGGGCUUGACUU